rnacentral:rRNA from 1 species
UACGGGGGGAGCAAGCGUUGUUCGGAUUUACUGGGCGUAAAGGGCGCGUAGGCGGCCAGCACAAGUCAGUUGUGAAAUCUCUGAGCUUAACUCGGAAAGGUCAACUGAUACUGUGCGGCUAGAGUGCGGAAGGGGCAACUGGAAUUCUUGGUGUAGCGGUGAAAUGCGCAGAUAUCGGGAGGAACACCAAUGGCGAAGGCAGCUCGCUGGGACGGUACUGACGCUGAGACGCGAAAGCGUGGGGAGCAAACAGG